AACGCGUGGAAAACCUGCCGUAUACUGGGGGAUAACACUUAGAAAUAGGUGCUAAUACCGCAUAAGCGCACAGCUUCGCAUGAAGCGGUGUGAAAAACUCUGGUGGUAUACGAUGGUUCCGCGUCUGAUUAGCUAGUUGGUGGGGUAAUGGCCUACCAAGGCAACGAUCAGUAGCCGGCCUGAGAGGGUGAACGGCCACAUUGGGACUGAGACACGGCCCAAACUCCUACGGAAGGCAGCAG
rnacentral:rRNA from 1 species